rfam:Schistosoma mattheei strain Denwood, Zambia genome assembly, scaffold: SMTD_scaffold0007417
AUCCAGCUGACCAAUCUCAAACAGGACGAAACGCGCGUCCUGGAU